CCUACGGGUGGCAGCAGUGAGGAAUAUUGGUCAAUGGACGAGAGUCUGAACCAGCCAAGUAGCGUGAAGGAUGACUGCCCUAUGGGUUGUAAACUUCUUUUAUAAAGGAAUAAAACGAGGCACGUGUGCCUUUUUGCAUGUACUUUAUGAAUAAGGAUCGGCUAACUCCGUGCCAGCAGCCGCGGUAAUACGGAGGAUCCGAGCGUUAUCCGGAUUUAUUGGGUUUAAAGGGAGCGUAGAUGGGUUGUUAAGUCAGUUGUGAAAGUUUGCGGCUCAACCGUAAAAUUGCAAUUGAUACUGGCAGUCUUGAGUACAGGUGAGGUAGGCGGAAUGCGUGGUGGAGCGGUGAAAUGCUUAGAUAUCACGAAGAACCCCGAUUGCGAAGGCAGCUUACUGGACAGUAACUGACGGUGAGGCUCGAAAGCGUGGGGAGCAAACAGGAUUAGAUACCCGAGUAGUC
rnacentral:rRNA from 1 species